CCUAGAGGCAUGAAGAAACUUGUCUAAAGUGAGGCAAACUGGAAGAAAUGUUAAUGUUCUCUUGGUCGGAAUUGUUUCCCCUUUCCCACUGAAGUGUGAGUUUUAGGUAGCCCUAAAUCCUUGGGUGUUGGGAAUGAAGCUUGUUCAGUAAUGUUGCCCAUUCUCCUUAUAGCGAGUACGCUUGGCAGGCAGCCAGACUCUGCCUUCUAUCUCAAGUCUAGAAGGCAGCAAGUGCUCUCCUUCUGUUUUUCAUGCAUGUGGGAGUCUCCAGCAUUUACAUUAGCAAGAGUAACAGCCGUGGUGGCAGCAUCUGGAUCCUUGAUUGACAGCAUUAUGGAAAGUUACUGGCCAGAUACUCCUUACUUAAGUUGGCACCAAUCAACUUGCCUGGGGAUCAGUCAAAUGGGGUGAGGUGAGGGGGACUUCAGGAGAUCCUUCCCAGAUGGAUGCCAAAUUCCUUUGAUAGCCCUGUCAUUGUCAAGAAUUUCUUCAAGUUUAUGUGUAUAAGAAUAAAAUCUUGUUCAAGUUUAUGAUGAUUUCUUCCACAUGUUAAGACCCUUUUUAUGACACAGAACAAAGGCCAAAAUCAUUCAAGUAGAGGCAAACGGAGGGUUCAAAAGAUCUAUUGGCUGACACACAAUUUGAUGCAUUAUUAAACUACAUAUUUCACCAUGUGAUAGAGAAUUCAUUUUUCAAUGUGUUAGAUGAAAUAAAAUUUCUACCAAAAUGAAAGAACCCUUUUGAGAUGUCAGAUUUACAGCACAGCUGAAAAGAUUAAUGACUUCAACCCAGAGAAAUUUUAUUUACAGAUAAUGCAAAGAAAGAACAAGCUGAUUUCAUAGUUUGACACCAACGAAUGAACAGAACAUUUAUCUAGUAAAACUAUCACUUUCUUUUAGAUGCCAAGAGCAAAUUUGCUGAGGUUAACCACAAAUGAAGAUUUAUAGUAUAUAAGGGUUAGAUGAAAUACUAAAAAACCUUAACUUUCUGAUGUUUAAUUCCUCGGCAAAUGUCUGCUUUUGUCAGGCUAUGCUUUGAGACCACCAGUGAUAGAAGUUCUCUACUUUCUGAGGCAGACAAUUGAAAAGUAUAUCCUUGUCUUUCAUGGAACUUAUUAACCCUCUAGAUAAUAUGAUCUAACAAUAUCUGUGGUAUCUGAUACCACUUAUGUUAGUCUGCUUUCCAGAUAUUUGAAGGCAACCAUUUUAUCCUACCACUCUUCCUAUUUUGACUCAGCCAUUUUCAGGACAGCUGACUCACCUUCCAACAAUUAUGGUUUGUAUAUUUUAUAACCAUUUAUUUCCCUUGCAUACAUUUCAAUUUGAAUAUAGUUCCUAAAGUGUAAUUCUUAAAACUAAGUAAGACUAAAUUUGAACCAACCAUUCUGGAAUAUAACACAUUUAAUAAUUACAAACCAAG
rnacentral:lncRNA from 10 species